CUGGCUCAGGAUGAACGCUAGCGGCAGGCUUAACACAUGCAAGUCGAGGGGCAUCGGGAGUAGCAAUACUUGCCGGCGACCGGCGCAAGGGUGCGUAACGCGUGAGCAACAUGCCCGUAUCAGGGGGAUAAUCCAUGGAAACGUGGUCUAAUACCCCAUAGUAAUUAUGUAAGGCAUCUUAUAUAAUUUAAAGCUUUGGUGGAUACGGAUUGGCUCGCGUGACAUUAGCUGGAUGGUAAGGUAACGGCUUACCAUGGCUACGAUGUCUAGGGGUUCUGAGAGGAAGGUCCCCCACACUGGAACUGAGACACGGUCCAGACUCCUACGGGAGGCAGCAGUGAGGAAUAUUGGACAAUGGAUGGAAAUCUGAUCCAGCCAUGCCGCGUGCAAGGAAGACGGCCCUAUGGGUUGUAAACUGCUUUUGUAUGGGAGCAAUAAGGGCUACGUGUAGUCCGAUGAGAGUACCAUACGAAUAAGCACCGGCUAACUCCGUGCCAGCAGCGGC
rnacentral:rRNA from 1 species